rnacentral:lncRNA from 1 species
UUCACAAAACAUUUUUCUUCAUGGACCCCUCUCAUUUUGUUUGGAAUUUAAUGCUGAUGAAUGGAUUUGGAUAUAUGGGCAUGUAAAUGUCUCCAAAAUAUUGCUUAUUUGAUCACCUCUCAUCCUGCUUCUUCACAAACUAUGCAGGGCUUGCCGACAGGUUUAUGUUAUUUUUUUCCCUUUUGCAGCACCUUUAUCUGAAACUGAUGCUGCCCCAAUGGAACAUUAGAGUCCCGAAGAAAUUCUUCAUGGUUACCGGAAGCUCAGCUGGUAGAUGGAAUGUUGAGAAUUCUUUGCAGUCCUUGCGUUUGGGACCAACACGUAUCUGCAUGGCACAUCCACCAAGCUUCAACAUGUGGAUGCAUGUGUG